ACCCUUUAAUGUUUGAUGUUCUAACGUGGACCCGUGAUCCGGGUUGCGGACAGUGUCUGGUGGGUAGUUUGACUGGGGCGGUCUCCUCCUAAAGAGUAACGGAGGAGCACGAAGGUUGGCUAAUCCUGGUCGGACAUCAGGAGGUUAGUGCAAUGGCAUAAGCCAGCUUGACUGCGAGCGUGACGGCGCGAGCAGGUGCGAAAGCAGGUCAUAGUGAUCCGGUGGUUCUGAAUGGAAGGGCCAUCGCUCAACGGAUAAAAGGUACUCCGGGGAUAACAGGCUGAUACCGCCCAAGAGUUCAUAUCGACGGCGGUGUUUGGCACCUCGAUGUCGGCUCAUCACAUCCUGGGGCUGAAGUAGGUCCCAAGGGUAUGGCUGUUCGCCAUUUAAAGUGGUACGCGAGCUGGGUUUAGAACGUCGUGAGACAGUUCGGUCCCUAUCUGCCGUGGGCGCUGGAGAACUGAGGGGGGCUGCUCCUAGUACGAGAGGACCGGAGUGGACGCAUCACUGGUGUUCGGGUUGUCAUGCCAAUGGCACUGCCCGGUAGCUAAAUGCGGAAGAGAUAAGUGCUGAAAGCAUCUAAGCACGAAACUUGCCCCGAGAUGAGUUCUCCCUGAGACUUAGAGUCUCCUGAAGGAACGUUGAAGACGACGACGUUGAUAGGCCGGGUGUGUAAGCGCAGCGAUGCGUUGAGCUAACCGGUACUAAUGAACCGUGAGGCUUAACCUUACAACGCCG
rnacentral:rRNA from 2 species